AGUGAACGCUGGCGGUAGGCCUAACACAUGCAAGUCGAACGGCAGCACAGAGGAGCUUGCUCCUUGGGUGGCGAGUGGCGGACGGGUGAGGAAUACAUCGGAAUCUACUCUGUCGUGGGGGAUAACGUAGGGAAACUUACGCUAAUACCGCAUACGACCUACGGGUGAAAGCAGGGGAUCUUCGGACCUUGCGCGAUUGAAUGAGCCGAUGUCGGAUUAGCUAGUUGGCGGGGUAAAGGCCCACCAAGGCGACGACCCGUGGCUGGUCUGAGAGGAUGAUCAGCCACACUGGAACUGAGACACGGUCCAGACUCCUACGGGAGGCAGGAGGGGGGGAAUGUUGUAUUUUGGGGGCAAGCAUGAAUCCGUCCCCCCGGGGUGAUGAAGAAGGGCGGGGGUUGUUCACCCUUUUUGUUGGAAAGAAACCAAGCCGCGUCUCGG
rnacentral:rRNA from 1 species